rnacentral:rRNA from 1 species
UACGGGGGGGAGCAAGCGUUGUUCGGAUUUACUGGGCGUAAAGGGCGCGUAGGCGGUCAGCACAAGUCAGUUGUGAAAUCUCCGGGCUUAACUCGGAAAGGUCAACUGAUACUGUGCGACUAGAGUGCAGAAGGGGCAACUGGAAUUCUCGGUGUAGCGGUGAAAUGCGUAGAUAUCGAGAGGAACACCUGCGGCGAAGGCGGGUUGCUGGGCCGACACUGACGCUGAUGCGCGAAAGCCAGGGGAGCGAACGGG